rnacentral:rRNA from 1 species
UACGGAGGGUGCAAGCGCUAUCCGGAUUCACUGGGUUUAAAGGGUGCGUAGGUGGAGUGGUAAGUCAGUGGUGAAAUCUCCAAGCUUAACUUGGAAACUGCCGUUGAUACUAUCAUUCUUGAAUAUCGUGGAGGUAAGCGGAAUAUGUCAUGUAGCGGUGAAAUGCUUAGAUAUGACAUAGAACACCGAUUGCGAAGGCAGCUUGCUACACGAUCAUUGACACUGAGGCACGAAAGCGUGGGGAUCAAACAGG